rnacentral:rRNA from 1 species
AGCAGCCGCGGUAAUACGUAGGGUGCAAGCGUUAAUCGGAAUUACUGGGCGUAAAGCGUGCGCAGGCGGUUAUGCAAGACAGAGGUGAAAUCCCCGGGCUCAACCUGGGAACUGCCUUUGUGACUGCAUGGCUAGAGUACGGUAGAGGGGGAUGGAAUUCCGCGUGUAGCAGUGAAAUGCGUAGAUAUGCGGAGGAACACCGAUGGCGAAGGCAAUCCCCUGGACCUGUACUGACGCUCAUGCACGAAAGCGUGGGGAGCAAACAGGAUUAGAUACCCUGGUAGUCCACGCCCUAAACGAUGUCAACUGGUUGUUGGGAGGGUUUCUUCUCUAGUAACGUAGCUAACGCGUGAAGUUGACCGCCUGGGGAGUACGGCCGCAAGGUUGAAACUCAAAGAAAUUGACGG